rnacentral:rRNA from 1 species
GAUGAACGCUGGCGGCGUGCCUAAUACAUGCAAGUCGAGCGAACGGACGAGAAGCUUGCUUCUCUGAUGUUAGCGGCGGACGGGUGAGUAACACGUGGAUAACCUACCUAUAAGACUGGGAUAACUUCGGGAAACCGGAGCUAAUACCGGAUAAUAUUUUGAACCGCAUGGUUCAAAAGUGAAAGACGGUCUUGCUGUCACUUAUAGAUGGAUCCGCGCUGCAUUAGCUAGUUGGUAAGGUAACGGCUUACCAAGGCAACGAUGCAUAGCCGACCUGAGAGGGUGAUCGGCCACACGGGAACGGAGACACGGUCCAGACUCCUACGGGAGGCAGCAGUAGGGAAUCUUCCGCAAUGGGCGAGAGCCUGACGGAGCAACGCCGCGUGAGUGAUGAAGGUCUUCGGAUCGUAAAACUCUGUUAUUAGGGAAGAACAUAUGUGUAAGUAACUGUGCACAUCUUGACGGUACCUAAUCAGAAAGCCACGGCUAACUACGUG